CUCUAAUCAUGUCUUCUCUGUAGUACUUACAUUGAAAGCUAUAAACUUGUAAGGGCUCUCUUGCUGGAAGACUCCAUUCACAAGCCAUCUUUCAGGCCUGAAUUCUUCGGCAUCCUCACCCCAAAGAUCCAAAUGAAAUUAUCUCGAAGCUACCUGGACUUGUUAUUUUUGGACUCUACUCUUAAAAUGAAUAGCAAGAGGAAUGAUUUGUACCACCGGUACACCAGGAUACAGCCGGAGAGUCUCGGUAAUCGCAGCAUGGAGAGCAUGUAGAAGAACCAUGUAAGGGUAUUCCCUGUGGUGUCUUUACCAGCAAUCAGGAAACUGAGGACUAUGUCACGAAGAUAACGAUCGUUCAUCGUCUCAGGAUCCUUCUCACUUUCCAGUAUGAAUCUUGACAGAUCCAGUUUAACAUCUGACAUGCAGACUGAGCCAUCUACCACCAUAUUACUGGUUAGGAGGAAAGAGAGGAGGAACAAAAAUGAUGAGCAAAGGAGAACUACCCUGCUGUAUUU